rnacentral:rRNA from 1 species
GACGAACGCUGGCGGCGUGCUUAACACAUGCAAGUCGAACGGAAAGGCCCUGCUUUCGUGGGGUGCUCGAGUGCCGAACGGGUGAGUAACACGUGAGUAACCUGCCCUUGACUUUGGGAUAACUUCAGGUAACUGGGGCUAAUACCGGAUAGGAGCUCCUGCUGCACGGUGGGGGUUGGAAAAUUUCGGCGGUUGGGGAUGGACUCGCGGCUUAUCAGCUUGUUGGUGGGGUAGUGGCUUACCAAGGCUUUGACGGGUAGCCGGCCUGAGAGGGUGACCGGCCACAUUGGGACUGAGGUACGGCUCAGACUCGUACGGGAGGCAGCAGUGGAGAGUAGUGCACAAUGAGCGGAAGCCUGAUGCAGCAGCGCCGCGUGCGGGAUGACGGCCUUCUGGUUGUAAACCGCUUUCGCCUGUGACGAAGCGUGAGUGACGGUAAUGGGUAAAGAAGCACCGGCUAACUACGUG